UCUGUCCUCAAGCGACCAGCUGGACUACAGAUCACCUCAGUGAGGUGGUUAAAAGUCACAGUUGAGGAUCCUUGGAAUCUGUACGCCAGACAGAGCCACAGUCUAUUUGAGGGAUGGAAAUCGUGGCUGAUCUCCAAACCAAAACAAGGAGCUACACCUCAACCGCCCUAUUUUGCAAGCCACUACCCUAGAGCAUAUGAGAGUCCUCUGCCCAU